rnacentral:rRNA from 1 species
GACGAACGCUGGCGGCGUGCCUAAUACAUGCAAGUCGAGCGGAUUGAUGGGAGCUUGCUCCCUGAUAUCAGCGGCGGACGGGUGAGUAACACGUGGGCAACCUGCCUAUAAGACUGGGAUAACUUCGGGAAACCGGAGCUAAUACCGGAUAAUCCCUUUCCUCUCAUGAGGAAAGGCUGAAAGAUGGUUUACGCUAUCACUUAUAGAUGGGCCCGCGGCGCAUUAGCUAGUUGGUGAGGUAACGGCUCACCAAGGCAACGAUGCGUAGCCGACCUGAGAGGGUGAUCGGCCACACUGGGACUGAGAAACGGCCCAGACUCCUACGGGAGGCAGCAGUAGGGAAUCUUCCGCAAUGGACGAAAGUCUGACGGAGCAACGCCGCGUGAGUGAUGAAGGUUUUCGGAUCGUAAAACUCUGUUGUUAGGGAAGAACAAGUACGAGAGUAACUACUCGUACCUUGACGGUACCUAACCAGAAAGCCACGGCUAACUACGUGCCAGCAGCCGCGGUAA